rnacentral:lncRNA from 1 species
UUAUGUAUUACAUUGUUUCAGUUAAGUCCCUUAUUUAAUAUUACAUACCAUAUUUUAGUCCUUUUUCUGCAAUAUUUAUGACCACUUUUUAUAAUACAGAAAACCUUUGUUAUAACAGAAAUGAUAAAACACAGUUACUACAAUAUUACAUACCACAUUUCAUUUAACCAAUAUUGAAAUUACAUAGUUUCAUAACAUCAAAUUACAUAUUGUUUUGAGAACACCCCUAUUUGAAAUACAUGGUUAAAAACACUAAAUUAAAGCCUAAACUAAUAAUGUCAAACACCAUUGCAAUUUUCAACAUUCUUCUUGUGCUCAAAACCUCACUCUUCAACUUGAAUAUUUUCUUCCUUUGCAUUUAAAUCUUCAAAUCCCUUCCAUCAACAACUUCAUCUCCUACCCACUUGAAAAAUGCAGCAUUUCUCCAUUUGAUUUAUGUAAUUCCUACAACCUCAAAACUUUUUCCCAACAUUCACACAAUUCAAAUCUGUAACAAUACAAAUAAUACACUCUUCUUGGCACCAACAAUCCCUACUUUUGUUUCUUAUGACCACAUAUCCAAAUGACCCACAAUUUUGGUUGUUUGAUUUUGAAUAGGUGUUGGAAUUUCAUUGACAUCUUAGCAGAAAUUAUGAAUAUGGUGGUUUGGAUGUAGAGAAUUCUUGAAGAAAUUUGGAAGAAGAAAGUUGAAGGAAGAAGAUGAAUAAUAGCCCUAUAUAUAAAACGAGUGACAACGUUAAAAUGAAUAACCAUGGGGCUUACAACGUUAAUAUACUCCCAUGCCAAGUCACUGAUGAAAGUAAAUCCUUGGUGUCAUGCCACAUCAGUCAAAUUAACGUUUUUUCAACCAAUUUAACGAAAGGGAUUAAGUUGACUAACAAAGCCAUUGUUAAUGGACUAAGCUGUAACAUUUAUUAAAUAAGGGACUCAACCGAAAUUUGAAAUUAAGUUAAGAGACUUCAGCACUAAAUAAGACUAUUUUUAAUUUAAAAAUAGGCUUAAAUAGUCUUCUCAUCCAUGUAAGUUGACGUAUUUUUGUUUUUAAUCCCUAAAUUUUUUAUUUUUGUUUAAAUCUUUUUGGUUUUAAUUCUUAAAAUCAAAAUCCGCAGGAACAUCUGCAGCUUACCUGCGGAUUUUCCUUCGAAUUUUCAUUUUAGAAACUCAAGCCAAAAUAAUUUUAAUAUCAAAAACACGUUAGCAUAGAGACGAAAAACUAUUUAAAUUUUAAAAAUAAAUGUGUUGUCACUUCGUCUUCUAUAACUUUUUUCGUCAUUUAUUACGUUUAUUAGUAUCUAUAUAAUAUUUAUUUUUUAUUUUUUAUUUAUUGUUGUUUUUUUUUUUUGAAAUAUUUUCCGUGUAUAAUACCCAACACUAAGCUAUAAAUAAAAAAUAUAUAAUCAAGUUUAGUAAAAAAAAAUAUAAUUAACUUUAAUGAUCUUCAAGAAUUUAAUGAGAUUUCUUUAUUAAAGUUAAAGUAAUCAAUUGAAUGAGCUAAAAGAUACACAUAACAUAUUAAAUUUUAUAAAUGGCUUCUUGUAAUUUCUAAGUGCUAGAAACUAUUUCAUAAAAGAUAAUAAAGCAAGAAAAUUUAGUUAUAAAGCUAUCAACAUUUUUUUUAAAAAUUAUUACAUGCAAAAGAGGAAUAAUAUGGUUCAAAUUACCAUGUUUAUUUAUAUUUUAACUAUUUUUCUUUCUCUAUUUAUUGUUGUAACUAGUAGAAGUAUGUAAAAUUUUCACACCAAUUUCAAAAUUUGUAAUGUAUUUUAUACACAAUAUAUCACCUUUAGUAACAUUUUUUUUAUUUGACAAUGCAGGUACUCUUGCCUGCAAAACAGAAGAAGAUUGUCCUGAUGAGUUAUAUUUUUUUAUUGAGUGCGUAGAUGGUUUUUGUGUGUAUUGGAGAGAUUAAAAAUUAAUUUUAAUAAUAUUAUUUUAUCUUUAAAUAUAUUAUUUAAUUUAUUCGUCAUAUUAUUUGUAAUUUAUAAUUUACUCUAAAAUCUGAUUCAUGUUUCUUUGACCAUUCACUUUGUAUGACAAGAUAAAACCUAGUUUCCUCGUAAAAAUAAGUUAAAUUAUAGUUUUAUUUUCCUUAUUUUUACUAAUUUAUGAAAUCAGUCUUUCAUUUUUAUUUUUAAAUGAUUUUGAUUUUACUGUUUCAUUUUUGGCAUAAACUUUUUUCUUCCUUCAGCAAUCUCAUCAAUGAAAUCAUCAAAUUGUGAAACAAUAUCAUUGACACUAAGUUUAUGAACACCAAAAGAUCAUAUGAAAUCCUCUACUCUGUUUCUAAUAUCACCUUAUUCUCUAGUACUUGAUGCAACUCUGUCUCUAGUAUCAUCAAUAUUUUUUCCUCUUUUUCCUCUAGAUUCGUUCAAAUUUUCAUAUCAAAUUUAUUCACCAAUGUUAAAAAUAUAGAAUCCUAAAUCCAAAUUGUUUUUAUCUAUAAAAAAAUCAAAGUUGAAGUUGCUGAUUAGGAAAAAUAUGUUUAAUCCUCCAGAUUCAUUUGUUUACCUACACAUGUCUAUGAUAUUGGCAUUCAUCGAUUUAUCCAUAUUUGUUCACCUAGGUUUAUUGAUGCUAAUUAAUGUGAGAAGCCCUUGAACUCGUUAAGGCUAAUAAUGAAUGCGCACAACAAAUGCUUCUGAUUUUGAUGAUGAACCUCUCCAUCUACAACAUAAGAUCCGGAAAUAUGUUUAUUUCUCUUUUUAUUGUUGGAUGCAAGCAUGGGUGGAUAAAGUCUAAUAUUGUCUAUUAAUAGAUGAAAUAGUGGACUUAUAAGAUAUAUGACUUAUUUAUCUAACACCUUAAGGUGUUUAGUUGAGAUGUGGUCUCUCUCUCUCUCUCUCUCUCUCAUUUAUUGAUGAGUGUUUUCCGCAAGUAUACGAAAUACGUCAAAGUAAUAUAAAAGAUUAUCGAUUCGACAGAG